rnacentral:rRNA from 2 species
UAGGGAAUCUUCGGCAAUGGACGAAAGUCUGACCGAGCAACGCCGCGUGAGUGAAGAAGGUUUUCGGAUCGUAAAACUCUGUUGUUAGAGAAGAACAAGGACGUUAGUAACUGAACGUCCCCUGACGGUAUCUAACCAGAAAGCCACGGCUAACUACGUGCCAGCAGCCGCGGUAAUACGUAGGUGGCAAGCGUUGGCCGGAUUUAUUGGGCGUAAAGCGAGCGCAGGCGGUUUCUUAAGUCUGAUGUGAAAGCCCCCGGCUCAACCGGGGAGGGUCAUUGGAAACUGGGAGACUUGAGUGCAGAAGAGGAGAGUGGAAUUCCAUGUGUAGCGGUGAAAUGCGUAGAUAUAUGGAGGAACACCAGUGGCGAAGGCGGCUCUCUGGUCUGUAACUGACGCUGAGGCUCGAAAGCGUGGGGAGCAAACAGG